rnacentral:rRNA from 1 species
UACGAAGGGGACUAGCGUUGUUCGGAAUCACUGGGCGUAAAGCGCACGUAGGCGGAUUCGUAAGUCAGGGGUGAAAUCCCGGGGCUCAACCUCGGAACUGCCUUUGAUACUGCGGGUCUUGAGUCCGAUAGAGGUGGGUGGAAUUCCUAGUGUAGAGGUGAAAUGCGCAGAUAUCAGGAGGAACACCGGUGGCGAAGGCGGCAUCCUGGACCGGUAUUGACGCUGAGGCGCGAAAGCCAGGGGAGCAAACGGG